rnacentral:lncRNA from 1 species
UUUUCACUUUCUGUCUCUCUAUAAACUUUCUUCUCCAAUUCUCUCUUGUUUCUUUCUAACAUUUCUCCUUUCCUCCUCCUCUUCCCCACCUUCUUCUCCUCUGUCCCGCCUCUGUUCCAUCGUCGCGCCUCCUCUCUCCCCUCUUUUUAUUCUUCUUUUUGCCUCUUCUUUUCUUCUCUUCUUUUCUUUAUUUCUUCUCUUCUUCUUCCUCUCUUCUUCACCCCCUUUUUGCCCCGAUUCCGACGUCCACAACGGCGGCGGCCGUGGCGCCGCUGCCACCUCUUCCUCAACGGUGACAACAUAGGUAAAUAGAAACUUAUAUCUACUUUCCUAACUUUUUAUUUUUUUUAUUUAACCGGAGAUGGGCUUACAUGUCAUCAGAGGAUACCUCUGGGGAGUCAUUCACUGUCAUGCGAGUCUCGAUCUGUAAAUCUAGGGUUUGACUUUUCGUUUAUAUGGUGUUUCUCUGAGUUUUUAUUGCUUUUAUUGUGGCUUCUAUUUUAAUGGAGUUGGGGAUCGGUGUGAAGGAAGAAGAAGUAGAUAAAAACAAAGGAAACAAAAGGGUUGGUCGCCGACGUUUGACCUGACGGCCGAAGAGGAAGAGGACACAGGGAUGGCUGAGAGGAGGUAAAACUUUGUUUUAACUUUUAGUUAAUUUAUUUCAAAAAAUAGAAAUGAAAAAAGACUAGACUUUAUAAUCUUAUUUAAGGUGAACGAAGAAAGAAGACUUAGAUUUGACCCACUGGAGGAGAUCGAUCGAAAAAAAAAACGAAGAAGAGGAAAGACACUCUUAGGAAAGGUAAAACACUUAAAAUCUAAAUAUUCUAGUUUUCCAUGGUAGAAACUGUUUUGUUAUUAAGGUUAAAAUAUGUAGAUUGAAAGUGAAAUUUUGAAUGUCCUAUUAUUGAACCGAAUUUAGUAAUCUAAACACCAUAAAAAUGACUUAUUUGUUUGAAUGAUUUGAUCAUUUUUUACAUUUAAUAAAAUUCCAGUAAUCAUUAUUAGAAGAAAAUGCUCAUGUUUUGCUUGAUUGUAGUGCCACAAGUUCAAUCCUUGUAUGGUAAUUGAGUUUUGAUGCAAUCAUAAUAAAGGAACACAGAGAUACGAGUGGUAUAUGAAUAUUUGAAAAAUCGAAAAGAUGUUUUGUUUAGGAGGACCAACUUUUGAAAGCUGACUUUGUUCUUCUUUUGCAGUGUGGAUCACCCCUUGGCUGCUGGCUCUAGAAACAUAGGAAUUUGGAAGCUUUGAGUCCCCAAAGUUUCGGCUAGAAGCGCUUUGUAUUUUUCUGUUUAUUUUUGUCCAUUUUCUUUUGUAGUGGGAUUGUGUGUAAUAGGAUUGGGGUGUAGUGGGAAUGGGGUUUAGUGAGAUUGGGUAGAGCUCUUUUGUUGUCAUCGGUAGAUCCGUUCUUCUUCGUUUUAUCUCCUCCCUUUCGCGAAAAAAAUGGUGGUCUUUUUAAACGAAAAUAAGGGCUGCCACCACACUUGUCUUCCAACCGGAUUUUGACAUCCAUUACUAACACAAAGGGAGGUGGCCUGUCCCUGUUGACUAAUAAAAACGGGCCCAAAUUGAGUCUGAAAUCGGGCAUGAAAUUUGGUAUAAAAUCGAUCCCGAAAAUUUGAUGUAAAAUAGAGCUACAAAAUAAUAAAAACUCGAGGACCUGAAAUUUUUUUUGUUACUACAUCAUCAGUGGUGACUUGCUAUAAAUCAUUACAAGCAUCAAACUCGUAAGAAGGCAUAGAUUUUGCUGAAUCGCUUCUACUCCUUUGGGGAAGCGAAGCAGGUUCUUCAAACAGAGGGUAUUGACGAGUACCAUCGGAUUGUUCUAGUAUGUAGUGAUAGGAUUGUCGAUUCAUGAUGAUUGAUUAUGUGUUUUUCUAUCUUGUUGCCUUGAUUGUCCCUUUUCCUUUCGAUUCACAGUUUCCUCAAUUUUCCAAUUUUUUUAUUUUCUUGUGAGAUUGAUUGCUGAGUUGAUUGUUGAGCGGAUGUUUAUGAGCGUUGCGAG